rnacentral:rRNA from 1 species
AUGACCUCUAAUCUUGGUGAUGAUUCUGUGUCGAAUGACUCAUUGCAUGUUUGCUUAUCUAAGCAUGUUGUAGCAUGUAAAUUUGAUUCAAAUAAGGUUUAUUCACCAAUGUUGGGAUGGUUUAAUGAUGAACAUUGUCAAUCUUUUGAAAUAAAUAAGAGCUUCACUUAUAUGUGCAAACUGAGUUGCAAUAUUUUCAUGCCUUCUAGUUCUUGUGCUAAUUUGUUGGCUUUAGAUUUUAUGAACUAUGCAAGUUACUCAUCUAUUCAUGUGUCAUAUAUGCAAAAAUCAAGGGAAGUAAAAAUGGAUGACGUAUACAUAUACAACAUGUACACCUUGUCUCUUUUGUUAGCCACAUUUCAGAUUAAGCAACGCCGAGGACGGCUUUGUUUUCAAGAAGGGGAGGAUGAUGAGGACAUGACUACCUUGGAUAAGACCGAAAAUAUUGCAUACAUGCAUAUUUGUCAGGUGAUUUCUAGUGCAAACUAUUCAAUAAUAUAUUUAUGUUAUCCAGAACAAAAAUACUUCACAUACUUUUGUGUUUUGUCUAAUUGCAGGUGUAUGAGACAUUUGUACAAUCCACAUAUGAAGAUAAGGGAAAAGGAGAAGUUUAGGUGCUGUUCAAAAAGUCUUCUCACGUCACUUUAG